GACGAACGCUGGCGGCGUGCUUAACACAUGCAAGUCGAACGGAAAGGCCCUGCUGUUGUGGGGUGCUCGAGUGGCGAACGGGUGAGUAACACGUGAGUAACCUGCCCUUGACUUUGGGAUAACUUCAGGAAACUGGGGCUAAUACCGGAUAGGAGCUCCUGCUGCAUGGUGGGGGUUGGAAAGUUUCGGCGGUUGGGGAUGGACUCGCGGCUUAUCAGCUUGUUGUUGGGGUAGUGGCUUACCAAGGCUUUGACGGGUAGCCGGCCUGAGAGGGUGACCGGCCACAUUGGGACUGAGAUACGGCCCAGACUCCUACGGGAGGCAGCAGUGGGGAAUAUUGCACAAUGGGCGGAAGCCUGAUGCAGCAACGCCGCGUGCUGGAUGACGGCCUUCGGGUUGUAAACCGCUUUCGCCUGUGACGAAGCGUGAGUGACGGUAAUGGGUAAAGAAGCACCGGCUAACUACGUG
rnacentral:rRNA from 1 species